UACAGAGGGUGCAAGCGUUAAUCGGAAUUACUGGGCGUAAAGCGUGCGUAGACGGUAGCGUAAGUCGGGUGUGAAAGCCCCGGGCUCAACCUGGGAAUUGCAUUCGAGACUGCAUUGCUAGAGUAUGGGAGAGGGAAGUGGAAUUUCAGGUGUAGCGGUGAAAUGCGUAGAUAUCUGAAGGAACAUCAGUGGCGAAAGCGACUUCCUGGACCAAUACUGACGCUCAUGUGCGAAAGCGUGGGGAGCAAACAGG
rnacentral:rRNA from 1 species